rnacentral:lncRNA from 1 species
GGAGCCGUCAGAAGGAAAGGAGGAAGUGGAGGCUGUAGAUGUGCACAGGGAUAAAGCAAUGAACAAAAUAAAGUCCUGCGUGCAUAGGAUUUACGUGCUAUCUCCAAAUUCAUCAAGAAAAGUGUGACCUCAGAUUGUCAGCCCAAGCUCCCUGUUCUGCCUGCCUCCCUCCCAGAGACCACCCUGAGAUGUGAGAAUGGCCACACCUGCCAUGCUCAAUGGCAAACAAGAGAAAGUGAAAGAAACAGAACGUUUGCCCUCACAAUGAAAGCAGAACUGACGAAGGCCACCUGUCCCAGCAAGGGAGGAGGGGAGGAAGCUGCCCCUAGCCUGCCGAUGGCCUGGAGACGCAGAGAGGACCUGCUGCUGGGCUUCACCCGCUCGGCAGCAGCCCUGAAUCCGGUGUCCUCUCAGGUCUCAGGAAGCCAUGAGCCGUGAGUCAGAGUCCACACCCACACACGCUAGGACCUAACUCAGCACAGUGAGGGAGCUGAAGCCUCCAAGCGCUUUCUUAAUUGGGUUUGGAUAGUUACUCAGUGUCAGUUUGAAAUAAUUAUUUCUUGGCCUGAAUAAGUAAGUAUUCAGUGGCCACUUAAAUGUUCUAAAACUGGACCAAUCCAUAAAAACUCCUCUCUCGGGAGUAGAGAGAAGUUGGAAAGAAAGAAGAGAGGGGCCAUGAAUUUCCUAGCUCACAAAAACCAAAAUUCACCCUCAUUUUGUUCUUUCUCCUGUUAACCCACGUGUUUGACAGCCAUGCCAAUGGCCUAUAAAGUUUCAUACCGAGGUCUCAUGGGAGGACCUGCACACAACUCAUGAGGCUGUUUCUCCAAUUCUUACUGCUGCUCCUAUCUUUUUUUCUUGUAACCAACAAGAUGAGCAGUCUGAACCCACAAUACCUUUUAAAUACCUGUUUAAAGUCUCUCAAUUCUAUUACCCAGCCUCCUGGGUGAGCAUUCACCCAAGCAACACAGUUGGUAACAUAAAAUGCUUCAAAUCGAGAUAGAAAAUGGAAGAUUCACUGUUAUUUUACCCCAUCCUUAGAUUCCCAAAUCAUCAUGUAAACGACACUGAAUUGGUCUUCAACAUCAUUCACGAUCUUAACUCAUCUAUCUUUUUGAUCUUGAGCUACAGUUUGUCCAAUGGACAUUUUGUGCACUGCAAUUUUCUUUUGGCUCCAGACUUUGGCUUGACCUGUGUAUUCCCGGGCCUUUGCUUCAAAAGCGUAGUCUCCUACCUGGUCUGUCCUCUCUUUCUGCCCAACCUAUUUACAUAGUCUUUUCUCCCAUCCCACCUCUUCUGUGCAGCUUUCUCCAGCUGACUCCAGCCCAUGGGACUCUCCUUUCCCUCAACUCAUAGAAUGCCUACUAUCUGUAGCUAAAAGCAUUCUGGACCCAAUUCCAAGGUGUGGGUGUGUGGGUUCCCCCUGCACCCCUACAUCCAACAAGCAAGUCUCUGACACCAGCUAAGUGUCCUACAAUUUAACUUAAUUCUGACACUGUUUACCCAGGGAUAGCUUCAGAUCCCACAGGUUAAGGUCCCACAAGUGUGCCCUCCCCAACUAAUUUAGCCGCAAGUUGCAAGUCCAGGUUGUCACCUGUGCUUCUGACCGACAGGCUACAGACUGGAGGUUCCCACGACAUCCUCUCAGGUUCGAUUAAUUUGCAGCUCACAGAACUUAGAGAAACAUUUUAC